rnacentral:rRNA from 1 species
ACAUCCAGCGAACUUUCCAGAGAUGGAUUGGUGCCUUCGGGAACGCUGAGACAGGUGCUGCAUGGCUGUCGUCAGCUCGUGUUGUGAAAUGUUGGUUAAGUCCGCAAGAGCGCAACCCUUAUCCUUUGUUGCCAGCGAUUCGGUCGGGAACUCAAAGGAGACUGCCGGUGAUAAACCGGAGGAAGGUGGGGAUGACGUCAAGUCAUCAUGGCCCUUACGAGUAGGGCUACACACGUGCUACAAUGGCGCAUACAAAGAGAAGCGACCUCGCGAGAGCAAGCGGACCUCAUAAAGUGCGUCGUAGUCCGGAUCGGAGUCUGCAACUCGACUCCGUGAAGUCGGAAUCGCUAGUAAUCGUGGAUCAGAAUGCCACGGUGAAUACGUUCCCGGGCCUUGUACACACCGCCCGUCACACCAUGGGAGUGGGUUGCAAAAGAAGUAGGCAGCUUAACCUUCGGGAGGGCGCUUACCACUUUGUGAUUCAUGACUGGGGUGAAGUCGUAACAAGGUAAGCGUAGCGAG